GAGAUGCUGCUGACCGGCUGGGCAUCCUUCAUAAUGUAUGGAGAGGACAAAGGGCGCACGGGUGGAUUUCAGCCUCAACUUUGACAGAGCCGUAACCCAAACCUGUCUUAUCCCACUCCAGUGGACUCGCGUCAGCUGAAAGGAUGAUGACACUUUUUCCACUUGCAAUCUGUCUAAUAAUCACCGACAGCAGGUAAAUGAGCUCUGGAGGGACAUCUGCGUGCUGGUAUAAAACAAGGAGUAGAGGAGGCCUAGGUUAGGAGACACUUUCGGACCUGUGCAGGGAUGAGAGCGCGGAACUUGAGGCCUGGCUGCGGCGGUGAGCCACACCCGCUGGAUGCUGGUAGGUCUGAUUGCAGAUAUUACGACGGUUGGAGUUUUAUCGGACACUAGAAGGUAAAUAAGAGCCAAAAAAUACUCGUUUUUCUUGUUUGCUUUAUAUAUUAAUUACACAACGAAGCUUUUGUUCCUCUGUGGUUUGUUUUUUUAACCACAACACAUAUUUUGUUAAAGUAAAUAUGGGCAGUGUUGGAUUACUAGUCCUGCUUGACCUCAUCAUUCCCACUGCAGUGCGCGUCCAGUGCGUAAAGGGCGCAGGGGAAAUUUUCCGUAGACCUGCGUGUGAAGGCGGCAGAAGGAAAGGGAGGAGGGCAUAAUGGAUUACUAUACUGCCACUGAGUUAAGAUGCUUACCAACUAAUUACCUGUCCACUAGAAAAUCCUCUGCUGCCCCAAACCAGCAAGUAUCCGCGAGGGAGGGAGACGUGGAGCCCAGGAGAAUAAUCUGAUUCUGUUUGGACUCUGAAGGCUGAAGAAGUACAAAAAAAGUCCAUCACAUGCUGCCCAGUCGGGAAAUUUUGUCACCUUCAUUACAGUUUAAAAAUAUUUUGAAAAUAUUUUACUCCUGGAUUGCUUUGAAGGGUGGGUUCAGCGAAGAAGCUUCUUCAGUUUUUCUAACUGAUGGGGUUUUGAGCGCUAUAAGGAUACUACAUGAUCAAGUCCGAAUGCCGUGAGAGUCCAUUAUGGCCGACUGCAGAGGACCUGAGGUUAAGUGGUGCCAGAAGAGAGAGGAAAGAGGGAGGCCGGCACGCUGACAGCUGGUACGAGUGAUUAGACCGUGCAGUGAUGCAGGGAAGGCAUCAAAGCUCUUUAGGGAGAAUCCCUUAGUGGGAGGACACAAUGAUACACACACACACACACACACACACACACACACACACACACACACACACACACACACACACACAAGCACAACCACACAGGAAUGAAAUCCUGAUACACAACUUCCUGGUUGCUAAAACUGCUUACAAACUCAGCUUACCACGUCCAACAGCAUAGGCUGCACUGACCAUCUGUCUUCUGCAGAUGCAUCACCAACCAAUGGAUUAUCAGCAGCUCUGCCCUAGGACACACACCCCUCUUUCACACACAUACUAACCCCCCUCUGAUUUCGAGAGUCUGGUAAUACAACAGAAUGAGUGGUAUCAUUAGAUUAGAUUGGGUGUGGAAGUUAUGGAAGGAUCUCCUCAUUAAUCACACGCGCUAAUGGCAGUUUAAUAGCUGUUGUCUCAACUGCUUCUUUCCGUUGUACAUCACUGUGCAGCUCCUCUGUUACAAUAAAAGUGUUUUAAUCUCAA